UGGAUCUGGGGGGAAUGGGGGCUGAAUGUCACAUCUGAGUCUCUGUGGUUCAGAAACGUGUGCAAGCACACGUACCGACCUCAACACCGAAUUAACUCAGCCAAAGCAGGCCUCAGAGCCACAGGUGAUAUUACAGAAACCUUAGCAAGGGCUUCGGCCUUCCCCAGGACACAGACAUGACCUGGCACUUUUAGUGCAAUGAGGAGCGGGAGACCACAGGCAGAGUGAGCAACCAUCCAGGUUUUCCAGGACCAACGGGUUUCACAAGAUGCGGGACUUUCAGGGCUAAAACCAGGAAAGUUCCCAGCAAACUGGGGAGAGUUGAUCCCUGUAAACAGCCACCACCUGGGUCAGAUGGACCCCAGCUGGAGGCCAGACUGGGUCUUUACACACUUGCCCUGAGUUAGCGCUCACAUUAAAGGAAUAAUGGGGGGUGGACACCAUUCCCUCCACUUCACAGAGGAGGAAACUGAGGCUGAGAGAAGUCCGUCAACUUGCACAGGACCACACUGCCAGCGAGUGACAGAGCGAGGAUUUGAGCCCAAGGCCCGUGCUCUUAAGCUGUGUGUUGUCACGUGGUAUCCGGAGGAUCCUCGACUUGUCAAAAACUGAAAUCAACACCCUCAACAGCCUUACUCUGUGCCCCGGUCCAGGGCCUGGCCCAGGAGUCCCCUUGCUUUCUGUAGCCCUCUCUGCAUUCCUACCAAUGCCUUUGCCUGCCUAGGACCACCCCCUGCCUGUAGGUCGCAGUAGCCCUCUGCCACCCUUCCCACGUAUCAGCCUGGCAGAGCCCUGUGGAAUUUCAUCACACAAGCCCCUCUGGAUUCAGAAGAAUCACAAAUGCUGCCUGGUUGCUGUUCUCAGCCCCCUCCCCACUGUGUCCCUGUCCCAAACACCCCCUGACCCUCCGCCAAGCCUGCAGGCAGCACCUCCCUCGUCUGCUCCUCCCUCAGGAAACAGCAUUUCCCGCCCAGCCUGGGGAUUUCCAAGCUGGAAAUUCAAACAGCUCAGCACGGAAUAGGCUCCAACAGGGUCAGGUAAUGGAAAUUACAAGAUGGUAAAUUAUUCCAGGGAAAGGGCAAUUUUCCUCAUAUGCUGCCUGACUCUGAGAACACUGUGAUCAUGGUGGAAAUUGGAGGGUCAGAGCUGGUGUCUAGGGAAAGAGAAAGGAAGGCACUGUGCCCGCCGCUGUCAGUGAAGCCCCAGGUGUGAGAGAGGGUGUGAGGUCAAUCCCAGGCUGGGCCCACAGCCAGGCACGUCCUCGCUAGAGGCCCAGGACCUGCCACCAGCCACAGCUGAAGAGGCUGGGGCGUCAAGGCAGAAAGCCAACAUCCCGGAGUCAUACAAGUGCACGUUCUCUUCCCAGCUCUGGCACAUACCAGCUGUGUGACCUUAUGGCAGUGUGGAGGGAGAGAGCCUGGUUCUUCUGCCGAGCCCUGGGCAGCCUUCUGGUGUCCCAGGAUAGAAGAAAGACUCACAUUUCUUUGCACCAUUGAGCCCAUCACUGCAGCACCAGAGCAUCUGACAUCUGCAAAACAACAUCAUUAGAUGAGACCCAGGGCCUAAGUUAAACAACUUGCCCAAAGUCCGGUACGCUUAGGAGGAGGCACACCUGACUUUUGACUCUACGUCUGCCUACUCCCUGACCUAUGCUCUUUCUAGAAAGUGGACACUUGCCCAGAUAACACCACUUCUAUCCACUUCUAUCCCUCGGGGAGGCCCUACCCCAUUUCAGCUGGGCUCAGAGCUGGGCAAAUUCAGACCUAGAGUGGAUUUCAACUCUGCCACCUGCCAAAGGGUAGACCCCAACAUGCCAUGUGUUUCUCCAGUGGGCAUCCUUGGGUUCCCUGGCUCCAUGCUUAGGAGGCUGGGCCCUCCACCUGACUUCUUCAAAGCCCUCCCCAAGAGCCAGCUCCUGCAGAGCCAAGAGCCAUGAGCCGAUCCUCCAAAAACCAGACCCAUAGGACAAGAGGCCAGGAGAGAGCGGCCAGCUCUCGGUGAACACAGGUACAGGGCCUUGGCAGGCUCAGCAGUCAGGACGUCCAGGUCUCAUCUCCAGUCUGCCUCUUGCUAGUCACUUGACCUCCCGCAGCCUCAGUUUCCCCAUCUGUAAGAUGAUGACGACACCCUCCAGCUCCUUAGUAAAGGAAUGAUAAAAUGACAGUUCAGCGUCUGUAUUUUA
rnacentral:lncRNA from 1 species